UAUUGUUGUGCCUACCUGUCCUUUUCGCUGUCGUCAUAGCGUCCACCUGGAUUGGGAAGACCGCUAGUUGAUUCUGAGCCCGCCGUAAAAGACAACACUAGUGAGAGCAGCAGCUUUGGCACAAUCACCCAGACCACCCACCUCCAUCACGGACUGACCGCUCUCAUACCAGCAGUACAAAUGAGUCAGAGAUGAAUCCUGGCUCGCUUUCUGCACUUUGGAACACGUAGGAAGUGCUCAGGAUGCCGAUUCAGAUGUCAGCCCGCUGGAGGUUUUCCCGCCCCAAAUGUGCGGCCAGGAAACUUUUUUCGAUUUUAUCCAGCAUGUUGGCAGUCAGUGAGACGAGCCGACAUAUUCAUAUUGGGGUUCGCAGCUUGCUGCGAGGUUCGUUCCCCCAGGAUGCAAACGGACCACUCCGGACAGGACGUGCAGGGAGGUGUUUAGGGCACGUCCGACCGGUAGGAGGCCACGGGGAAGACCCAGGACACGUUGGGAAGACUGUCUCCCGGCUGGCCUGGGAACGCCUCGGGAUCCCCCGGGAAGAGCUGGACGAAAUGGCUGGGGAGAGGGAAGUCUGGGCUUCCCUGCUUAGGCUGCUGUCCCCGCGACCCGACCUCGGAUAAGCGGAAGAAGAUGGAUGGAUGGAUGGAUGGAUGGAUGUUUUGAAUGUUGUUUUUUCAUUUUUAAAUCAGUCGUCAUACUAGCUUGCUAACGCAGCAAUAGCUUAUAAACUACGAUGUCAGACUAUCAGCAAACAUACUUCACUACAAUUUAAUACAUUUUGUUUGAUUAGACAACUAAUCUACUUUUUGAAUUUACAUUAGCCACGUUUUGAAUAUUGUUUUGUUAUUUUAAAAUCACUCAUCAUAUGAUCUAGCUAGCACAGCUGUGGCUAAUAAAUGUCAGAUUAGCAGAUUUCACUACAAAUGACUAAAUUUCAUGAAUGAUCAGACAGAUAAUGUACUUUUACAAUUUACCUUAGCCAUGUUUUGAAUGUUUUGUUAUUUUUAAAUAACAAAAUAAUAGUAUAUAAUAAUAAUAAUGAUAAUAAUCACACAUAGUAGCUUGCUAACACGGCAAUAGCUUGAAAAUGUACGAUGUCAGACCAGCAGCAAACAGACUUCAAUAAAAUGUACUACAUUUUACAUUAUUAAACAGCUAACCUACUUUUAGAAUUUUAAUCUGCUAUGUUUUGAAUGUUGUUUUGUUAUUAUAAAAUCACUCAUUCAAGCUCGCUAACACGGCUGUUGGUAGUAAAUGUCAGACCACCGCGAACAGACUUGACUACAUUUCACGAAUGAUUAAACAACUAAUAUACUUUCGGAAUUUACGUUAGCCAUGUUUAGAAUGUUAUUUGUUAUUUUAAAAUCACUCAUCAUACGAGCUAGCUAAUGCUACUAAUGCUGUCAAAAACAGUAUUUCAAAUUAAAACUAAAAUCAUCAAACACGGAAGUUUUGCACUCAAAGAAAGAACAAUCUGUAUCUUAUUCUUUCUUGUUUCAAAUCCAGACACAUAAAUCAUUGUCAUUAGUCGUAAUACCAAACCGAAGUGAGUUCAUAAUUAUGAAAAAAAAUCUAGUUAAAUCAACAAAUAAAGCAUAUUUUUAUACUGCAUAAAUAGAUGUGUGUUUGCGUAAGCUUCUACUCCUGAACCGUAGCCCAAGAAAGGGUGAACAUAUGUCAAAACAUGCUAUUAUGACUUUGAAAAAUAUACCACAUGGUGUUAUUAUGCUAUUAUUAAACCCCAUAAAUCGGAUUGGCUUGAAAUUUCUCACACAGCUCUACUAAACACUGAACUAAAUUUUCUUUGAGGAUAUAUGUGUUACAUGUAUGCUAUCAUGUUUUACAAAACAUUUUGCUCAAAUAAAUGACAUACAGAAAUGGCUUCUAUUUGAGAAAACACAUGCCACCUUUUUUUUUCCUUAAUUGGCCUUGAAGUGCUUACAAAACUCAAGGCCAAGUUCUUUUGACACCAAUGACCGCUUCUUUGUUAUUAUUCCUGUGCAAUCUGAACUCUGCUUUUUCCUUGCCAGCAGUCAUGUUGCAAUUUGCAGUAUUGUUUUUGCAGGAGUGCAGCACAUGACAUCAGCAGUCAGAUUGAUGUUUCACUUUGUUUUCCUACAAUAAAAAUAGUAGCGUGUUCUUUUUCUCUCUCGCUCACUGUUCUCCGUGCAGAGAAAAUGAACUUUGACCUUAUGGUCCUUCUUUAAGACCGUAGCAGACAUAAAGAUGUUUAAUAUUAGGGAUUUUAAAAUAAAGUUGAAGGAUUGAAGUGAAAAUAAAUGUGUUUGUGGAUGAUGCUGUAGUGUGCACCAAUGACCUUUGACAUUCCGUGUGUGUGUGUGUGGGUGUGUGUGGUGCGUUACGCUAUGUGCAAGCGGUAAACUUUGAAACAUUCUUAGUCGCAGAUGAGGCAUGACAGGACCCACAACGGAGCAAUUUGUUAACCAGUCCUAAAUAGAAUUUGAAGUAUAUUUAUUUUCCUCCAUCCGGCUUUGAGUUGAGUACUAAAAAAGAUGUUAUUUUACAGGUUUUUUUGGUCAAUCUUAUAAAGAAAUAUGAAGCAGAGGAUAAUUUGUGUUAUUAAUUUAUU